GAAAUGUAUGUUAAGUGGAAGCAGGGUUGUGUAGCCUGGUAGGAAUACAGGGCUGUUGUCAGCAUGUGUACAGUUAGGAUUAGGAAAGCCAAGGCACAGAUGGAGUUGAACUUGGCGAGGGAUGUGAAAGAUAACAAGAAGGGGUUCUACAGGUUCACAGGCAGGAGACAGGCCAAGGAGAGUGUUCCCCCUCUGAUAAAAGGAGAGCUGGCUUCCUCAGACUUAGAAAAAGCUGAAGUGCUCAGUGAGAGUUUUGCCUCAGUCUUCAGUGGUGGUCAGUCUUCCCAUGUCUGCCAGGACCCUGAACCUCUAGGUGAGGGUAUGGGGAGUGGAUUCUGUCCCACUGUAACAGUGGAACAAGUCCAAGACCUUCUCAUGCAAUUGAAUGUAUUUAAGUCCAUGGGGCCAGAUGAUAUCCAUCCCAGGGUUCUGAGAGAGAUGGCUGAUGUGGUUGCUGAGCUGCUCUCCAUCAUAUUUGAAAAAUCAUGGCUGUCUGGUGAGGUCCCCAGUGACUGGAGAAAGGGAAACAUUACUCCAAUUUUUAAGAAAGGGAGAAAGGAUGACCCGGGGAACUACAGGCUGGUGAGCCUCAUCUCUGUGCCUGGGAAGAUCAUGGAGCAGAUCCUCCUAGGAGCUAUGUUAAGGCAAGUACGUGACAAGGAGGUGAUCCGAGACAGCCAGCGUGGCUUCACCAAGGGCAGAUCUUGCCUGACCAAUCUGGUGGCCUUCUAUGAUGGAGUGACGGCAUCGGUGGAUGGGGGAAGGGCAACAGAUGUCAUCUUCCUGGACUUCUCCAAAGCCUGUGACAUGGUCCCUUACAGCAUCCUUCUCUCUUCAUUGGAGAGGUAUGGAUUUGAAGGAUGGUGGAUUAAGAAUUGGUUGGCUGAACACAGACAAAGGGUAGUGAUUAAUGGUUCUAUGUCAGUGUGGAGUCUAGUCACAAGUGAUGUCUCCCAAGGCUCAGUCUUGGGACCAGUGCUCUCCAACAUCUUUUUCAAUGACAUAGAGAAUGGAAUUGAGUGCACCCUCAACAAGUUUGCACGUGACACCAAGCUGAGCGGUGCAGUCGAUACAUUGGAAGGAAGGGAAGCCAUCCAGAGGGACCUGAACAGGC
rnacentral:lncRNA from 1 species